AUAACCAUUCAUAAGGUGGUGGUGGUGUAAUAACCAUUCAUAAGGUGGUGGUGGUGUUAUAACCAUUCAUAAGGUGGUGGUGGUGUUAUAACCAUUCAUGUGGUGGUGGUGUAAUAACCAUUCAUAACAAGGUGGUGGUGGUGUUAUAACCAUUCAUAAGGUGGUGGUGGUGUAAUAACCAUUCAUAAGGUGGUGGUGGUGUAAUAACCAUUCAUAAGGUGGUGGUGGUGUUAUAACCAUUCAUAAGGUGGUGGUGGUGUAAUAACCAUUCAUAAGGUGGUGGUGGUGUUAUAACCAUUCAUAAGGUGGUGGUGGUGUAAUAACCAUUCAUAAGGUGGUGGUGGUGUAAUAACCAUUCAUAAGGUGGUGGUGGUGUUAUAACCAGUCAUAAGGUGGUGGUGGUGUUAUAACCAGUCAUAAGGUGGUGGUGGUGUUAUAACCAGUCAUAAGGUGGUGGUGGUGUUAUAACCAUUCAUAAGGUGGUGGUGGUGUAAUAACCAUUCAUAACAAGGUGGUGGUGGUGUAAUAACCAUUCAUAAGGUGGUGGUGGUGUUAUAACCAUUCAUAAGGUGGUGGUGGUGUAAUAACCAUUCAUAAGGUGGUGGUGGUGUUAUAACCAUUCAUAACAAGGUGGUGGUGGUGUUAUAACCAUUCAUAACAAGGUGGUGGUGGUGUUAUAACCAUUCAUAAGGUGGUGGUGGUGUUAUAACCAUUCAUAAGGUGGUGGUGGUGUUAUAACCAUUCAUAACAAGGUGGUGGUGGUGUUAUAACCAUUCAUAAGGUGGUGGUGGUGUUAUAACCAUUCAUA